UUCACUUACAGUCAUUUCUUUGCAGUGACUGGAAAAACACCCUCACUCUAACAUCUUCUCUUGCCUUUUCCUCUGUGAAGAACUCAGUAUUGAAGGUUUAAAGAAAAGACCAUGGCAAAGGGUUUCAGUAUCCUGCCAUGUCACGUGAACCAUGCAAGUGAUUAUGCGGAAGAAAGACACCUGCAUAUCUGUUGGUUGGAGAGUCCUACAGGCAGCUUACACUCUUUUUGGAUGCCAUAGGCAAGACACCCAAGUCUUGGCACCAACUCUCCCCAAACCCAACUUAUAUGAAAUUCAUUCCAUCUUUUUCAGUCCUAAAGGCUCUAAGUAGAGAAGGAGCCAAUGCCAUGGACAGGGUGUUCAGCUUGGAUCCAAACCCUAGAAGACAAUGGAGCCCCAUUGUGACUGACACAGUGAGCCACUGGAUGGCACUGUGGAUCCAUGCAGAUGAAGGUGGGCAGGCCAUUUGUCUUUCUUUUUAAAAGGCCAUUUUAGUUUGACAGGUAAU
rnacentral:sRNA from 1 species